GAGGGUAUAGCUCAAGUGGUAAAGCGCAUGCUUAGUGUGCAAAAGGUCCUGGGUUCAAACCCCAGUAACUCCU
rnacentral:tRNA from 1 species